rnacentral:tRNA from 1 species
GCAUUAGUAGCUCAGCCAAGAGCAUUGGUCUUGUAAACCAAAGGUCGGAGAAUAGACCCUCCCUUCUGCU